AACUACUAACUCAUGAACAAAAUACACAGCUGUAACUAUGAAAAUGUAAACAACAAAGAUCGGGCCCCGGUUCCGGACCCAGCGUACCCGCCCUACCAUGAGACGAUCACCUCCACUCGUCUCCCACAUUUUGGCCACUAGAUGGCCUAUAUUAGCCCGUGUCGGCCAUAAUGCCCACUCUCCCCAGCAAUAUUAUUUUAGCCGGACAUGAUUUCUUUCAAUAGCUGUUUAGGAUCUCAUGCAAGCGGAUAAUUCAUUAACUUCACAGGCGACGGAACACUACAAGGAUAUUGCGAGUCGCCGUAAAAGAAACGCGCAAUGAGGCACUUUAGAGGCAAUCGUUGCGCCGAUUUAGGAACAAUGGCCCGCACAAUUACUUAAAACUGGAGCUCUCUGGGGGUGGUAAGGGGCGAUAUAAAUGCGUAAAUUCAAAUUAGGUAAGUAUGUGAGCAUAGUUCGCGCAAGAGUUAAUUUUAGAUUUUUUUUU